GGACAAGUGUCAGGUCUAGAUUCCUCACCCAUUAUUGCCAAUGAAGGUGUAUGUUGGGGCAGAACCAUUUGAAGUGGAUGAAGCCACACAGUUGUCCACAAAGAUCCGCAGAGGCACAUGGUUAGUGCUGUCUACAGAUGCCUGUAGGUUGAUGAGGUCACCUAGGUAGAAGAUGCUGGAGGAACUUGGUCCACUCCAGUCACCUGCAGACAGACCAUAUU